UACGUAGGGUGCAAGCGUUGUCCGGAAUUAUUGGGCGUAAAGAGCUCGUAGGCGGUUUGUCGCGUCGGCUGUGAAAACCUGAGGCUCAACCUCAGGCCUGCAGUCGAUACGGGCAGACUAGAGUCCGGCAGGGGAGACUGGAAUUCCUGGUGUAGCGGUGAAAUGCGCAGAUAUCAGGAGGAACACCGUGCGAAGGCAGGCUCGCUGGGCGUAUGACGCUGAGAGCGACGAAGCGUGGGGAGCAAACAGG
rnacentral:rRNA from 1 species